rnacentral:rRNA from 1 species
UACAGAGGGUGCAAGCGUUGCUCGGAUUUACUGGGCGUAAAGCGUACGCAGACGGUGAGGAAGGUCGGAUGUGAAAAGCCCCUGGGGCUCAACCCCAGGAAACUGCAUCCGAAAACCCCCCUCGCUAGAGUAUGGGAGAGGGAAGCGGAAUUCCUGGUGUAGAGUGAAAUUCGUAGAUAUCAGGAGGAACAUCUGCGGCGAAGGCGCUUCC